rnacentral:lncRNA from 10 species
AAGACAAUCAGGCUGCCAGCGCCAGCAUUGGCAACCCACUGGGUUCCCGUUCCACACUGUGGAAGCUUUGUUCUUUCGCUCUUUGCAGUAAAUCUUGCUUACUGCUAACUAUUUGGGUCUACGCUGCUUUUAUGAGCUGUAACACUCACCGCGAAGAUCUGCAGCUUCACUCCUGAGCCCAGCGAGGCCACGAGUCCACCGGGAGGAACGAACAACUCCAGACGCUCUGCCUUAAGAGCUAUAACACCGCGAAGGUCUGCAGCUUCACUCCUGAGGCAGCGAGACCACGAACCCACCAGAAGGAAGACACUCUGAACACAUCUGAACAUCAGAAGGAACAAACUCCAGACGCGGCACCUUAAGAGCUGUAACACUCACCGCGAGGGUCCGCGGCUUCAUUCUUGAAGUCAGUGAGACCAAGAACCCACCAAUUCCGGACACAGUCUCCAUCUCCUGACCUCGUGAUCCACCCGCCUCGGCCUCCCAAAGUGCUGGGAUUACAGGUGUGAGCCACCGCACCCGGCCACAGCAUACCUAUUUUUAAAAAUAAGCUGACAGUUUUUUUUUUGUUUUUUUUUGGUUUUGCCUCCUGGAACUGGCCUCUUCAUAGAAUCUGCACUAAAAACCUACACAUACAACAUGGUUUAAUGAUGAUUAGGACUAAGGAAGGCUUAAUUUUCCUUAUGUAGGAAGGAAACUACAUUGUGCAGUGAUACUUGAGGGCCAGAUUUUGAUUACUUGCUAAUGUUACGGAUUUGUUUUUAUUGGGAGAUACUUUACUGUGGCUAUUCUACACCUCCAACUCUGGUAGGACCAUCUUUUUAACUCUAUUUUGGGAUUAGGAGGUGGAGUAGUUCAAGUUAGUAUGUUUGCCUGUCUGAUUACAAUAUUCUUGGCUUACAUGAGUCUUAUUAAAUUGUAACAAGGGAAUGUCAAAGCUGAAAAUUCCAAAUUCCUAUUUUCAGAUAUAAACUAUAAUCUGAAAAUCACGCUUCAUAAGAAAUAUAUGACUUUCAUAUUUUAGUCUUUAAAGUCUCUGACCUUUUUCCUGAACUUUAAAAUGUAUAUGUAUAAACAUGUAUAUUUGUGACACUUAACCAAGUAUUCACACUUCUCUAAAUUUGGGUGGUAGCAUAUAGGAAAAUAAGUAUUAGCUAACAAAUAAUGAGUGCUAUUAGCUAAAGACUAGUUAUUUUAUUUAAUCUUCACAACAACCUCUAAGGUUACUACUCUAUUUUAUUUUACAGAUUAUGAAACUAUGGCAGGGCUAGAUUAAUUUGCCCAAAGACAAAUAGUCAGUAUCCAGUGCCUGGAUUCAAGCCCAGGGACCAUGGCUCCAAAGCCCGUGUUCUUAAUUUUCAAUCUAUAUUGCCUCUUUAAGAAAUGAGUGUAGGUGGUGAAAUACAAUUGAUAACACCUAGGAAUUUAAAUUUGAGCUAUUAUAAGCAUAUGGGGAGAUCUUGCAAUUGGUGUUUCAGCUCUGAUACAAAGAAGUUGUUAGUUCAGAAAUGACAUUGAUCAGAGGUACCUGAAGAAGUCAGAGAUAGAGAACUGAGGUGAUAAAAAGAAAUGAAGACUCAGACCAGAAACAACACAGAAACACAUCUUUGUCAUUUCCUUUUAUGUUUCACAGAACUACACUUUAGUUAUAUUUAUAUAUCAAUUGCAGAUUGCUGGUGGGUGCAUAGACUGAGUACACACAUAAACACACACACACCCACACUCAUAGAACUUUUUAAAUGUACAUGUUCAGUAAAAUGUAUACAGUUUAUUCUGUUAGGUGUUGAAUCACUUUUUUGGUUGACAUUGUAACAUCAUGAUAUAAAAAUGAAACAAAUAAUAACAAAGGUUCUUGACAUGGGGAAAUUGUCCUGGAUUAUCUGAGUAGACCCAAUGUAAUAUCAGGGUUCUUUAAAAAAGUCAAAGAAGGAAAGGUAAUCAUGGAAGCAGAAUCAGAAGGAGAUUUGAAGGUGCUUGCUUCUUUGAGGAUACUGGUUUUGAAGACGGAGGAAAGAGCCAUGAGCCAAAGAACACAGAUGGCCUCUAGAAGCUAAGACGAGAGAACAGGCCUUACCCUAGAGCCUGCAGAAUUAAUGCAGCCCUGCUGACACCUUGAUUUUGGCUUGAUGAAACCCAUUUAGGACUUCUGACCUUCAGAACGUGCCCAGCUUUCCAACACCUGUGCUCUGCUGGGAAGGAGGGGCAAAAAGAAGGAGGAGCUGGACAUGAAUGCUAGGAAACCCGAGCAGGUGCUGGCCAGCUGAAUGGAGACUGAAAGCACUGGCCAUUCCUGUCGUCUUCAAUAUGAGUUCUUCCAUGCUUACGAAGUGCCUAAAAACAGGCGGCAGGAGAAAAAAUGAAUGCUGAGCAAAGAGGGAAGACCCUUAUGAAACCAUCAGAUCUCGUGGGAACUCACUUACCAUCAUGAGAACAGCAUGAAGGAAACCGCCCCAUGAUUCAAUUAUCUCCAACUUGUCUAGCCCUGGACACAUGGGGGUUAUUUCAAUUCAAGGUAAGAUUUAGCUGGAGACACAGAGCCAAACCCUACCAGUGCAUAAAAUUGGAAUAACAUUUUCUGUCCUUCUGGUCUCUCUUGCUUGUUGCCAUUGUCAAGUAAGGUAAUAGAUGGAAAAGCACUCUGAAAAUCACCAAAUGAAUGCAUUUCAUUGUUACUUAUUAGGAUAAUUUCUUGGGAUGGUUGUUACAAUUGUUAAAUUUUGUGGUUAUUCUGAUUAUUUUUGAAUAUUAAUCAACUUUAAUUCUUCAUUAUAAACUUCUCUAAAAAUGUUAUUUUUCAGAAGCAUUGUAUUGUAGGAUAGAACAGAGAUAUUCUUGCAAGCAAAGGAGACCAGUCCUGCUCAUUUUAGACAAAAUAGCAUUGAGUGUCCACAGGAUAAGUAGAAACCCAGAUGACAGGGUUUAGGGAAUAGACAAAUCCACGGAAGCAGGAAAAAUACACUAAGCAUCUGGAGUAGUUUGCCAUCACUUAUCACUGUUCCUGUGUUGAAUUACCUCUAACUAGGAGUAGGUAAUUUUCAAAAUAUAUAUCUCUUUGUAUAAUACAAACACUGAAUACUCUGAAUGGUCUGUAACUAAAAACCUAGUAGGGCCAUACUGGUGCAUGACUGCUGGAUAUUAAGUUUUGCCUCCAAUUAUUUCUCAUGCUUCUGCAUCUCUAGCUCAAGACCAAAGUUCUAUCCAAUAGCAGUGCAUUAGAUGAGCUUGGGUCACUUGUGGUUAAAUAAUGGGAAAAGGCUUAGCGAGUUUGUAGCCUGCAGCUUCUGUCAGAACAGAAAAGAUGCAAUCUCUGACCAAGACUGCACACAGAAGGUAUUUGGGCGGCUAAUAGUGAAGGGAUUUAAUUCUUAAUAGCUAAAAUAAAAAGUGUUCGCAGAAAAUGUGGUAUUUACUUCCUAUCUUGUUUUUCUCAUGUGUAUUUUGGUAAUUGAAUUACCUGUUAUUUCUCUAAAGUACAGAAUAGUAAUGCUGAGGUGACAGGUAUAUAUGCAAGACAUGGAAUUUUAGAUGUUGAUACUUAUUAGCAUUGAUUUAUUCAAUGUUAUUUCACUGAGCAAACAUUAAAAUUUAAUAAGACAAGGUACAGAAAUACAUGUGACAGAUAAUAUUUAGCAUGUCUGUUUCAGAGAUAGAAACAUCCUUUAAUUUAAGUAAAGAAAUGGAAUUCCACAGAGAGGCCUUGACACAUUUGUAAGUGUAGAUGACAUAUGUAGAAUUUUUGGUAGUAUUUUGCAUAUGUGGGUUUUUGAUAUACAAAGAAAAACUUCUUCCUUCCUAUAUUAAAGUGAUUUCUUUAUCUUGUUUCCAUGGUAAUAAUGAAUUGGUGUUAAUUGUCUGACUUCCCACCUACAAUGCAAUCUGGGCUAAUUCUGCCAGGUUCCAGCUGAGUCUCCAAAGACGAGGACAGGCUCCUAAGUGGCCCAGACUGAGCCUCACUACUCAAGCCAUCAGGGAAGCUGGCAAUUGCAUGGUGACUCAACCUUAAGCCAAGAUCAAAACCUAAAUACAAAACACAAUGCAGAAUGCACAAAUAGCUAUUUCACAAGCUGUAGGUGAGAACUAAGAGUUAACAACAGAAUAGAAGAGGAAUUUAAAAGAAGCAGGAGAGGAACAGAAUGAGUCCUGGAAGUUUACCUGUAAUGUCAACAGUUCACCUUUAGGGGCCAGGAAAUCAAUCAUGUCUAGGCCUGUUGGCUAUUUCUAAAGGUCGGAAUCUGGGAAAAUGGAUCUGUUUGCAUUAUCUUACUAUUUCAGUUUACAGGCCUGCUUUCAGUAAUGAGGGGUCAGGGCCAGAGUCCAAAGAGAGGCUCUCAUAUACAAGAUGUCUAAAUACGUAUUUAAAAGCUAUGUGUAAAACUAUCCAACUGUCAAAUAAAACAUGUUCUAUCAAACUCAUUGAACAAUAUACCUUCAUAAUAAAAAAAUGAAAAAAUAUAUGUAAAGCUAUGGUUUCUUAGGAUAAAAAGUAG